UCGCUAAUCAUAACUUUUUGCAAUAUUUCAUUUGUUGCAACUGAUUCAAGUGUUUGUUGUGGAAAAACUUGAGCAACGAAACAUAUUUUGCCUUCAUUAAGCUUGUUAGGCAACAAGAACACUUUUGUUGCCAAACAUAACGUAGGGCAAGAAAAUAUUUUGUUGCCAUAUAUUCUAAUUUUCUUGCCUAUUCCACAUCAUUAAGAAGAAUAAAAUCUGUUUAGCUAUAGCGAUAAAGACUAAUUUUUGUUGCAAGAUAUGAAUUUUAGCAAUAAAGUAAGUUUUGUUGCAAUAGAAUUUGUAGCCAAUACUCUAUUUUCUUGUGGUGGGUAUAGAUA
rnacentral:lncRNA from 1 species